CUCGAUAGCUCAGUCGGUAGAGCAGAGGAUUGAAAAUCCUCGUGUCGGUGGUUCGAUUCNUCAGU
rnacentral:tRNA from 1 species